AUUGAACGCUGGCGGCAGGCCUAACACAUGCAAGUCGAACGAGUGGCGGACGGGUGAGUAAUGUCUGGGAAACUGCCUGAUGGAGGGGGAUAACUACUGGAAACGGUAGCUAAUACCGCAUACCAUCAGAUGUGCCCAGAUGGGAUUAGCUUGGUGGUGGGGUAACGGCUCACCAAGGCGACGAUCCCUAGCUGGUCUGAGUGGAUGACCAGCCACCCUGAAACUGAGACGCGGCCCAGACUCCUACGGUAGGCGGCAGUGGGGAAUGUGGCACAAGUGGCUCAAGCCUGAUGCAGCCAUGCCGCGUGGAGGAAGGAGGCCUUCGGUUUGUAAAGUUCUUUCUGCGGGAAGGCGGUACCCGCAGAAGAAGCACCGGCUAACUCCGUGCCAGCAGCCGCGGUAAUAC
rnacentral:rRNA from 1 species